CUCCAGCAGAGGCAUCAGCAAUUUCUGGCCAAUGUGAAUUCAGUGACAGGAGGGCCACGGAGGAGACCAACUGGAAGGACCUUCGAGGAAACAAUCAAGAGAAGCAUGUGAGGAAGUUAAAAUGAAUGAACCCAUUCAGCCAAUUCAUUUUUAUACCUACCACAAUCACUUUUUUUUUGAAGAACACUUUUGGAAAGUGUGUUCCAAAAUUAACCCGAGCCGACUUCAGUAUAACAAAGUUUCCACAUGAACAAUUGCAAAAGUUAGGGUUCCCUGGGAUUUAUUAAAAUAUUAAUUUUU